rnacentral:lncRNA from 1 species
AUGUUCUUUCGAAGCGCACACAAAGUAGGAGUUACUUCUGAAAAUAUGCAAGAACAUACUCCAAAAACAGUCCGGCGCUGUCCAAUUGAAGAAGAAGAAGAAGAAGGAGGAAAAAAAGUUCCACGAAAAUCACUCGAGUUAAAGUUUUCAUACACUUACCGGGCUACAGAGAAUUACGACGUCACGCAACAGGUGUCACUUAAAUAUUCGAUAAUUUGACAAGAGCGCAAACAAACGCGCUGCGCGUGCGGUGCGCAACAGGAGCGACAAAAGCCUUUCCUUCUUAUUAGAGAAAUUAGCAGACAAAAGCAGUCUGGAGUCAAUCAGUCCACCUCACAGAGCUCAUGCAUUCACAACUUUUUGCGCUCAAAACUUCAGUUCCGCAUUAAAUCCUCUUUUUGCGCAGGAGACACGGAAACCUUUUCAAACUUUCCCCUCUUUUCUUUCCAGAGGCUGCUCGGGCUUUAACCUAAAACCCUGGUGCUUACAGAAAGCACUAAAAGCAGACGACGAAGGAACUCUAGCGACUGCUUCAGUCCGCAGGCAGGGGGGUGAAAGACUGAGUUUUGACUAGUUUGUGUAUUGCCUACUCAUGGGCCUGCCCUCCCCAUCUCUCCAGCUUCGGAUUCGGAACAGGGGAGGGAGAGAAACCGCAGUCCUCCAACAGCGCGUUCCCAUUUGACGAACACUUGGACUAGUGUCUCAACCACUGCUCCUAUUAGUCAGCCAAUAAAGUUGUAGUAAUUAGUUUUUAUAAGGGAGAUGAUCUUUAUUGUGGCAGGCCUGGAUAUACUUUGGAAACCUAAUCAAAACUUUAUUUGAAAUAUUUUUAUGCAAAGUUUUACUUUAUAUUAAACACUUAUGUGUAGAAAACUUGUCAUACACCUGUGAUUUUUUUUAUUUUUGUUGAAAGAAGUCUCUUACUCACACCAAGGUUGCAAUUAUUUGAUAAGAAAGGCAGUAAAAAGAAUGAUAUUGUGAAAUAUUACUGCAUUACUCUAUUGUAAUAUAUUUUAAAACUUAUUCCUGUGUGGCAAAUCUGAAUUUUCAGCACUAUUACUCCAGUCUUCAGUGUCACAUGAUACUUCAGAAAUCAUUCUAUUAUGCUGAUUUUGGGCUCAAUUAUGACUGGUAUUCAGUUAUUAAUGAUGACUUUUCUUAUUAUAAACAUUAGAAUGAUUUCUGAAGGACCAUGUGACACUGAAAUUCAGCUUUGCCAUCACAGAAUAAGCUAAAUUUUAAAACAUAUUCAGAUAGAGUUAUUUUAUAUAGUAAUACUUUUUUCCACAAUAUUAUUGUCUUUACUGUAUUUUUGAUCAUUUAGGCUGCAAAUAAAUAUAUAAAUUACAUUUUUGAUGUAUAAUAGUAUAUAUUUUUUUUACCUAAAAUCUUUUUGUUGAUUUUUGGUUUUAAAAAAGUAAAAAUAAAUAAAUAAAUAAAUAAAAUAAAAUAAAAUGAUUUUAAAAAGUUGUUUAGGUUAAAUAUAUACUUAUAGAAGAACUGUAGAAUUUGUUUAAAAUAGUUUAAGAGGAAUUAUAGCAUGUCACAUAUACAUCAACCCAUACUGCAUAAAAUUAAAUAAUAUAUAGGCUAAUAUGCAAUGUUUAUAAAAAAGCCAUAAAAAAAAUAGAGUUUAAUUUAACAACACCGUUUUGAAUAACAGAGCGCUGUAACUUGAUUCAGAAAACUUUUAUGCUGUACAGAGUUUGCUGCAGCUCUACA